rnacentral:lncRNA from 1 species
UGGAAACAAGAGUUGCCAUAGUUGCAACUUCUGUUUAUCAACUUUAAUUUUUAGAACAAAUGUGGAACUAUGAUAACAUAUAUUUGUUUUAUCGAAAUUAAUUAGCAGUUAAUACAAAAAUCUGUGAUGAAAAACAGAAAUUUUUAAGGUUUUAUGACUGAAAUUAAAGGGUUGUUAUGGUGCCAUCGUAACCAUAGCAACCAAAUGUACAACACAUGUGUAAUUGUUAUUUUUUUUAGUUUCUUAUCAAAAUAGAACAUAUGAAGCCCAAAAAAGUCAAUUUGGCAACUAUCACUGUAUCACCCUCUGCAUGAUUCUUAGGUGGAGCCAUACUUAA